CAAGUGUGGCAACGCUGGGCACAACUCUCGCAAGUGCAGAAGUUUGUUUGUUGAUGGCAGCCGGGAUGCUUCAGCGGCCACCUCAGAUUGGCAAAACGUGGAUGUGGUCCAGGAGGAGGACGACAUGCUUGAAGCAAAUGAUGCUGAUGAAUUUAACUUAUAAGGGGAACUUCAGUGUAUCAUUUUCAGAGGAUGCUGCAUACAGUGUGGUUACCCCAGGACAACUAGCAUUAUCAUGCAUGAGUCAUUCGUAGACAUAUAAUUGGUAUUAGAUGUUUAUGGUGCUACUGAAACUAAUUUAUAUUCGUGUUGUUUGAUCCAUGCAUUUAAGCUUAGACUUGUAGACUUAGUAAUUAUGGAUGUCUUACUAUUUACUGUCUCGUUAGUGCUAAAAGUUGACAGGCUUUUGCAUUGUUGUUCCCCAGAGGGACUAAUAUAUGAGACACUGAAAUUGUAUCUGUGACCAUACUAUUAUUGAGGAUAGUUAUAUCUAAUUAUGACUAUUUGGGGUUUCAAAGUAAGGAAUCCAUGUAGAAGUUUGUUGAAUUCGAUUUUCAUUUUUCUUAAUUUUUGUCAGCAACAAUUAUCAAAGUAUGGGUUAAUUAUCCUUAACUACAUUUAUGUAUCCAAUGUAUCCAUGUGGAA